AUUGAACGCUGGCGGCAGGCCUAACACAUGCAAGUCGAGCGGAAACGAUCCUAGCUUGCUAGGAGGCGUCGAGCGGCGGACGGGUGAGUAACGCGUGAGAAUCUACCCAUGAGUGGGGGACAACCCGGGGAAACUCGGGCUAAUACCGCAUACGCCCUACGGGGUAAAGCAGGGGACCUUCGGGCCUUGCGCUGAUGGAUGAGCUCGCGUCGGAUUAGCUUGUUGGUGAGGUAAAAGCUCACCAAGGCGACGAUCCGUAGCUGGUCUGAGAGGAUGACCAGCCACACUGGAACUGAGGCACGGUCCAGACUCCUACGGGAGGCAGCAGUGGGGAAUCUUGGACAAUGGGGGCAACCCUGAUCCAGCCAUGCCGCGUGUGUGAAGAAGGCCUUCGGGUUGUAAAGCACUUUCAGCAGGGAGGAAGGCUUACCCCUAAUACGGGUGAGUACUUGACGUCACCUGCAGAAGAAGCACCGGCUAAUUUCGUG
rnacentral:rRNA from 1 species